rnacentral:rRNA from 1 species
UACGGAGGGUGCAAGCGUUAUCCGGAUUUAUUGGGUUUAAAGGGUCCGUAGGCGGGCCCGUAAGUCAGUGGUGAAAUCUCAUAGCUUAACUAUGAAACUGCCAUUGAUACUGCGGGUCUUGAGUAAAUUUGAAGUGGCUGGAAUAAGUAGUGUAGCGGUGAAAUGCAUAGAUAUUACUUAGAACACCAAUUGCGAAGGCAGGUCACUAAGAUUUAACUGACGCUGAUGGACGAAAGCGUGGGUAGCGAACAGG